AAGUCGUAACAAGGUUUCCGUAGGUGAACCUGCGGAAGGAUCAUUAAAGAAUUGGCUUCGGCCUUUUUCAUCAACCUGUGCAUGAUAUAUUUGAUUUUGGUGUGGACGUGACUUCGGUCCCUCGGUCAACGAGUGUGCCCGCCAAAGGUUUUUUUUAACUUUUUUGUGAUGAAUGUCCUUCUUUAAAACCAAAAGAAAA
rnacentral:misc_RNA from 1 species